GGCGCGGUGGCAGAGUGGUGAUGCAGAGGACUGCAAAUCCUUGUAUGCCGGUUCGAUUCCGGCCCGCGCCU
rfam:Rhodospirillales bacterium RIFCSPLOWO2_12_FTLL_67_15 rifcsplowo2_12_scaffold_60072, whole genome shotgun sequence.